rnacentral:rRNA from 1 species
CUUAACACAUGCAAGUCGAGGGGAAACGACAUCGAAAGCUUGCUUUUGAUGGGCGUCGACCGGCGCACGGGUGAGUAACGCGUAUCCAACCUGCCCAUCACUUGGGGAUAACCUUGCGAAAGUAAGACUAAUACCCAAUGAUAUCUCUAGAAGACAUCUGAAAGAGAUUAAAGAUUUAUCGGUGAUGGAUGGGGAUGCGUCUGAUUAGCUUGUUGGCGGGGUAACGGCUCACCAAGGCGACGAUCAGUAGGGGUUCCGAGAGGAAGGUCCCCCACAUUGGAACUGAGACACGGUCCAAACUCCUACGGGAGGCAGCAGUGAGGAAUAUUGGUCAAUGGACGAGAGUCUGAACCAGCCAAGUAGCGUGCAGGAUGACGGCCCUAUGGGUUGUAAACUGCUUUUAUAAGGGAAUAAAGUGAGUCUCGUGAGACUUUUUGCAUGUACCUUAUGAAUAAGGACCGGCUAAUUCCGUGCCAGCAGCCGCGGUAAUACGGAAGGUCCGGGCGUUAUCCGGAUUUAUUGGGUUUAAAGGGAGCGUAGGCCGGAGAUUAAGCGUGUUGUGAAAUGUAGACGCUCAACGUCUGCACUGCAGCGCGAACUGUUUUCCUUGAGUACGCACAAAGUGGGCGGAAUUCGUGGUGUAGCGGUGAAAUGCUUAGAUAUCACGAAGAACUCCGAUUGCGAAGGCAGCUCACUGGAGCGCAACUGACGCUGAAGCUCGAAAGUGCGGGUAUCGAACAGGAUUAGAUACCCUGGUAGUCCGCACGGUAAACGAUGGAUGCCCGCUGUUGGUCUGAAUAGGUCAGCGGCCAAGCGAAAGCAUUAAGCAUCCCACCUGGGGAGUACGCCGGCAACGGUGAAACUCAAAGGAAUUGACGG